CAGCACCUCCCCUGUGCAGGGGGCAUGGGGGUGAGGGAGACAGCCAGCCCGGCUCUUGCCUCGAAGGCUGAGAGGUGAUGGCAGUCAGGCAACAGUCAGUGAGCCGAGGAGCAUUCAAGGUCCCUGGGGUUACCAGACCCAGCAGGGGGUGGGGGGCAGAGCGAAAUUUAAGGAGAAAGCUGGCAAGGGUGAAGGUUCAACUAUUUGACCUGAGGCGGAGGACGUGUCCGGAGGCCAUGGUGCCGUGGGGGAGGCUGGCCCCGAGGAUGACAGACCAGCUCCCAGAGGCCGUGGCCAAGCAGAGGACUUCUGGGGACCCCUGGUUUCCCGGAAAGGGUGAGGACAGGGCUCGAGAGAUCUAAGCUAUGCCCCCCACACCCACUAGAAGGAACAUAUUUGGGCAGACACCCUGGGGACUGAGCCCCCAGGGCAAGGCCCCCGCAGAAGAGUGUUUGGGGAGAGGCUUCAGCCCCAAAGGCUGGUCCCAGCUCCAUCUUGGCUCUUACCCGUUGGGCGGGGUCUGCCAGCCCGCCAGCUCACUUCUAACCCAACUGGCAACACCCAGUCUCCAGCCCUGUUGGGACAAAGCCCACGAGCCUGCACGGAGAUGAACUCGUCCAUUGUCAGGCUCUGUGGCAAAACCUGGACUGACUUGGGAGGCAAUCCGGUCCUGCCCAAGACAAAGUGUUCUGGGCACUGGGACCUACGGGUUCGAGGUUGGGAUCGGCCGCGGAUGGCUGAUCGUGGACAUGAACAUAUGCAACCCGCAGACGGCCCGAUGAGACUGUUCCUACCGCUUGUCUCACUCCACAGAUGAAGAAACUGUGAUUCUCCUGAGGCCUCUUGGUUCGAAGACUCGGGCUACAAAUUCAGGCAGAUGAGGACCCUGGGACACACCGACGUGAACCUGCCUGAAGUCACGCAGGCAGCACAUGACGGAGCCAGACUUUGAGCUCCCGGGUGGCUCCCUGGUGAACAGUCUCGAGAGGAACGCAGCCCUGCCCACGCCUGGAUUGUAGCCCAGCGAGACCUGUCCUGGAUUUCUGGCCUCUGGAGCUGGAGGAGAAGAAAUGUGUACUCCUUCCGUCGCUCAGUUUGUGGCUGUUUGUUACGGCAGCCAGGCAGCCACGGGGAGGCACACAAGGCUACGGCCCACGCACAGCAUGUGGCACCUGGGCUUUCAGCAAUGUCGCCCUGUUUGUAUUUUAGAAAGCUAAAUUAAA